UUGUGGGGGAUAACCAUUGGAAACGAUGGCUAAUACCGCAUGAUAGCUUCGGCUCAAAGAGGGGGACCUUCGGGCCUCUCGCGUCAGGAUAUGCCCAGGUGGGAUUAGCUAGGUGGGGAGGUAAGGGCUCACCAAGGCGACGAUCCCUAGCUGGUCUGAGAGGAUGAUCAGCCACACUGGAACUGAGACACGGUCCAGACUCCUACGGGAGGCAGCAGUGGGGAAUAUUGCACAAUGGGCGCAAGCCUGAUGCAGCCAUGCCGCGUGUAUGAAGAAGGCCUUCGGGUUGUAAAGUACUUUUAGCAGUGAGGAAGGAGGUAUCGUUAAUAGCGGUAUCUUUUGACGUUAGCUGCAGAAGAAGCACCGGCUAACUCCGUGCCAGCAGCCGCGGUAAUACGGAGGGUGCGAGCGUUAAUCGGAAUUACUGGGCGUAAAGCGCAUGCAGGUGGUUUGUUAAGUCAGAUGUGACAGCCCGGGGCUCAACCUCGGAAUUGCAUUUGAAACUGGCAGGCUAGAGU
rnacentral:rRNA from 1 species